rnacentral:rRNA from 2 species
GCGUAAGCGCGCGCAGGCGGUUUCUUAAGUCUGAUGUGAAAGCCCACGGCUCAACCGUGGAGGGUCAUUGGAAACUGGGGAACUUGAGUGCAGAAGAGAAAAGCGGAAUUCCACGUGUAGCGGUGAAAUGCGUAGAGAUGUGGAGGAACACCAGUGGCGAAGGCGGCUUUUUGGUCUGUAACUGACGCUGAGGCGCGAAAGCGUGGGGAGCAAACAGGAUUACAUACCCUGGUAGUCCACGCCGUAAACAAUGAUUGCUAAUUGUUAGAGGGUUUCCGCCCUUUAGUGCUGCAGCUAACGCAUUAUCCACUCCGCGUGGAGAGUACGGUCACAAGACUGAAACUCAUAGGAUUUGACGGGCGCCCGCACAAGCGGUGGAGUUUGUGUUUU